GACGAACGCUGGCGGCGUGCCUAAUACAUGCAAGUCGAGCGAACUUGCGGGAGCUUGCUCCCAAAAGUUAGCGGCGGACGGGUGAGUAACACGUGGGCAACCUGCCUAUAAGACUGGGAUAACUUCGGGAAACCGGAGCUAAUACCGGAUAAUUCUUUUCUACUCAUGUAGAAAAGCUGAAAGACGGUUUACGCUGUCACUUAUAGAUGGGCCCGCGGCGCAUUAGCUAGUUGGUGAGGUAACGGCUCACCAAGGCAACGAUGCGUAGCCGACCUGAGAGGGUGAUCGGCCACACUGGGACUGAGACACGGCCCAGACUCCUACGGGAGGCAGCAGUAGGGAAUCUUCCGCAAUGGACGAAAGUCUGACGGAGCAACGCCGCGUGAGUGAUGAAGGUUUUCGGAUUGUAAAACUCUGUUGUUAGGGAAGAACAAGUACGAGAGUAACUGCUCGUACCUUGACGGUA
rnacentral:rRNA from 1 species